ensembl:lncRNA SBF2-AS1 SBF2 antisense RNA 1
AGGGUCGGGUCCAGUGUGCGGUGGUCGCUCCGCUCCGGGCCGCUCCGCUCUGGGCGUCAGGGCGCGGGGAGCUGCCCCGGGGUUCUGUCCACCGGGGAGGAAAGCCACGAGCACUGAGCGCCUCCUGAGAGCCAGCCCUGACGUGAACUCAUUUUAUCUGCCACGACCCAGAAGCAUGAGUUCUUCUGUUUCUUCUGCGUGGGUUGACCAUGGGCAUCAGGCAUCAGAGAUACAACUCUGGAUCUUGUCCAUCCAUUGCUGGGCACUCUGUCCAUCCUGGGCGCAGAAGUUAUACACACGUUUGCUGGUCUUGAGCUACAAAACCAAAUGACAGUGAACCAGAGAUGAAGGGCAGGGCUGUUUUAUGGAUUUGGACCUCUGGGGAAAGACUGCUGCUUUCUGCUGGGAUUACCACAUCUGUGAGGCUUGGAAUGAUCAGUAGCCAUCCUUUGUGCCAUGUUGGGACUGACAUAACACAGAGAGAGGGCAAAGCAGAGCCAGGAAGUGGAUAGAAGAUACUGUGUGAGAAGCUAGCAUACCCUUGGCUGUCCUAGCUUAUGAGUCUACUGCUAAGAUUUCAGCAUGUCCUGUGGCUGAGUUAAUCAGAGUUAUGACAGGAAGGUACCGGGCACACCAUCGCAAUGCUCCAUCAAUGCUAGUAUGUUGUGUUCUUUCCUUCAUAUCAAGUCAACUCAAGCUUGCUCUACUUACCUGGUGUACACAGUCUAAGAACUGUAAGAAGACUGGAGCAAAACCACUCCCCUGACAGUUGAGGGUCAAGCUGCUCCUCUGACUGAAUUUGUGACCAAAAGAGAGCCACUCUUUUUCAACCAACAUCUGGAAGCCUUCAAGUGUCCUAUAAAAGGGAUCACUGAGUAACUGAACCAGGGAUGUCACCUAGGGCAUAAGCAGGAUGGAUUGUCAUUAAUUUUAGUUCUGAAAAAGGCCUAUUACUAAGAUAAAAGCACUUCCUUCUGAUGAUAGCUAAUUCACAAAUUUACCUGGACAGCAAAUUUGUUCACUAACCAUUCCAGGAUGGCCAAUAAAAUUAAUUUUGUAAACUUGCCAGUAAAAACUAAAGCUCAAAUUCAUUUUGGCUACAAGUUUACUUUCAGGGAAUUGAGACUUUAAUCCUUAACUGGCCAGUUUGCUGACAGCAACCUUUUCCUAAGUUAAUCAGAGGCCAGAGGAUCAGUUAAAAUCAAUUCUACUUUUUGGCAGAUGCAGAUUAAUGUCUUAAUGUAGUCUGAACUCACACUUUUCACUCUGGAGUGAGUUAAGGCGGGGCUUAUAGAGAGCCAGGGGAUGGACUGACAAAACCCAGGAAGGAUGGUCCACGCCUCACACUGCUGGUCAAGGGCUCCAUCCGCAAGCCUGCAUGGUACAUCUGUGGAUGGGAGAGCUUGAUGCCCGGAGCCAGAGCUCCAGGCUGCGUAGGGGCUAAGAGCUCAUGGUACGGAGUUUUCUGAUGGAUACCAGGUGCUGUUUAACACAGGACUUUCUCUGUCCAUAAACACAUUAGUCAUUAUACAAAAGAGUCAUCUGAAGAAUUUAAAAAUGACCAAAUGGAAAUAUAAAUAUAAAAUAUCAAAAAAUAUGUCUAAUAGUUUACUUGUGCAGUGAUGUCCCAGCCUUCCUCCAAACAGACCAAAACUGAGGAACCAUUCUCAAGUACUUCUGAUACAACCACAGCCAGCUGCAUUAUCCUGUGAAGCUAAGAGACAGGAAGGAGAACACAAUUAGACCAAGCGCUUUCUGAGUGCAGAAGUCAGAGAGAGUUGCUUUCAACCCUGGAUAAUCAAACGACUUAGGGAUAAAGCGCUUGCACAAAAGAACCACAUAAUGUUUUAAAUACCUAAAGUUCUUUCAAAUCAAGAUUAAACAAUGACACUUUUGACUGGAUGCAAUGACUCAUGCCCAUAAUCCCAGCACUUUGGGAGGCCGAGCCGGGCAGGUCAUUUGAGGUUCGGAGUUCGAGACCAGCCUGGGCAACAUAGUAA